UGUACAAAUAUACUAAAAUCUCACAUUAUGG
rnacentral:piRNA from 1 species